rnacentral:rRNA from 1 species
AAUGAACGUUGGCGGCGUGGAUUAGGCAUGCAAGUCGUGCGGAAAGGCUCCUUCGGGAGUACUCGAGCGGCGAAAGGGAGAGUAACGCGUGGAUAUCUACCCCCUGGACCGGGAUAGCGGCGGGAAACUGCCGGUAAUACCGGAUAACGUCUGCGGACCAAAGGUGUGAUUCCGCCGGGGGAUGAGUUCGCGUCCUAUUAGCUAGUUGGUAGGGUAACGGCCUACCAAGGCGAAGAUGGGUACCGGGUGUGAGAGCAUGGGCCGGCUCACUGGGACUGAGACACUGGCCAGACACCAACGGGUGGCUGCAGUCGAGAAUCUUCGGGAAUGGGCGCAAGCCUGACCGAGCGACGCCGCGUGCGGGAUGAAGGCCUUCGGGUUGUAAACCGCUGUCAGAGGGGAGGAAAUGCGUGGGAGUCCUCUUUCACGUUUGACCUAUCCUCAGAGGAAGUACGGGCUAAGUUCGUGCCAGCAGCCGCCGCAG